CAGUCGCCGCGGGAAUACGUAGGUGGCAAGCGUUGUCCAGAAUUAUUGGGCGUAAAGGGCUCGCAGGCGGUUUCUUAAGUCUGAUGUGAAAGCCCCCGGCUCAACCGGGGAGGGUCAUUGGAAACUGGGAAACUUGAGUGCAGAAGAGGAGAGUGGAAUUCCACGUGUAGCGGUGAAAUGCGUAGAGAUGUGGAGGAACACCAGUGGCGAAGGCGACUCUCUGGUCUGUAACUGACGCUGAGGAGCGAAAGCGUGGGGAGCGAGCAGGAUUAGAUACCCCUGUAGUCCCUGUCUCUUAUAC
rnacentral:rRNA from 1 species